GACGUAGGGCGCGAGCGUUGUCCGGGUUUAUUGGGCGUAAAGAGCUCGUAGGCGGCUUGUUGCGUCGACUGUGAAAACCCGCGGCUUAACUGCGGGCUUGCAGUUGAUACGGGCAGGCUAGAGUUCGGUAGGGGAGACUGGAAUUCCUGGUGUAGCGGUGAAAUGCGCAGAUAUCAGGAGGAACACCGGUGGCGAAGGCGGGUCUCUGGGCCGAUACUGACGCUGAGGAGCGAAAGCGUGGGGAUCAAACAGG
rnacentral:rRNA from 1 species